rnacentral:rRNA from 2 species
GUGUUCGUUAUUAAGGGCGCAUGGUGGAUGCCUUGGCAUGCUGAGCCGAUGAAGGACGUGAAAGGCUGCGUUAAGCCUCGGGGAGUUGUCAAUUAAGCGUUGAUCCGAGGAUGUCCGAAUGGGGAAACCUGGCCCUGGUUAUGUGGGGUUACCCUUCAGUGAAUUCAUAGCUGUUGUGGGGGUUUACGCGGGGAAGUGAAACAUCUCAGUACCCGUAGGAGAAGAAAAUAAUAAUGAUUCUGCUAGUAGUGGCGAACGAACGUGGAUGAGGCUAAACCGUGUGCAUGUGAUACCUGGUAGGGGUUGUGUGUGCGGUGUUGUGGGCCCUGAUGUGCGGUGACUACCAUUGCCGCGCCCUCGCAUUGUUGUUAGGUGAAGUGGUUUGGAAUGGCCUGCCGGAGUAGGUGAGAGUCCUGUAGCUGAAGAUGAUGAUGUGUGGGUUGUUGGGUUGCCCGAGUAGCAGCGGGCUCGUGGAAUCUGCUGUGAAUCUGCCGGGACCACCCGGUAAGCCUAAAUACUCAGUGUGACCGAUAGUGUAUGAGUACCGUGAGGGAAUGGUGAAAAGUACCCCGGGAGGGGAGUGAAAUAGUUCCUGAAACCAUGUGCUUACAAUCCGUCAGAGCACCGUGUGUGUGAUGGCGUGCCUUUUGAAGAAUGAGCCUGCGAGUCAGCGGCAUGUCGCGAGGUUAACCCGUGUGGGGUAGCCGUAGGGAAACCGAAUCCUAAUGGGGUGUCAAGUGGCAUGUCCUGGACCCGAAGCGGGGUGAUCUACCCAUGGCCAGUGUGAAGCAGCUGUAAGAGGUUGUGGAGGCGCGAACCCACGUAGGUUGAAAACUGCGGGGAUGAGCUGUGGGUAGGGGUGAAAGGCCAAUCAAACUCCGUGAUAGCUGGUUCUCCCCGAAAUGCAUUUAGGUGCAGCGUCGUAUUAUAGCUUGGUGGAGGUAGAGCUACUGGUUGGUUGAGCGGGACUACAAUCUUAGCAAUGUCAGCCAAACUCCGAAUGCCACUAAUUGUGUUGUACGGCAGUGAGACUGUGGGGGAUAAGCUUCAUAGUCGAGAGGGAAACAGCCCAGAUCGCCGGUUAAGGCCCCUAAGGGUGUACUAAGUGGAAAAGGAUGUGGGAUCGCGAAGACAGCCAGGAGGUUGGCUUAGAAGCAGCCAUCCUUGAAAGAGUGCGUAAUAGCUCACUGGUCGAGUGGUUCUGCGCCGACAAUGUAGUGGGGCUCAAGUACAC